GGCCUCGGGGUGUAACACGUGGGGUUGCAAACCUCAAGAAGCAGAAUAACAUUCUGCCGGGGCUUC
rnacentral:tRNA from 1 species